rnacentral:rRNA from 1 species
CUCCUACGGGAGGCAGCAGUGAGGAAUAUUGCGCAAUGGAGGAAACUCUGACGCAGCAACGCCGCGUGGGGGAUGAAGUUCUAUGGAGCGUAAACCCCUGUAAGUAGGGACGAAAGGUAGAUAUUCGAAUAGGGUAUUUAUUUGACGGUACCUACAGAGUAAGCUCCGGCUAACUCCGUGCCAGCAGCCGCGGUAAUACGGGGGGAGCGAGCGUUGUCCGGAAUUACUGGGCGUAAAGGGCGUGUAGGCGGUUUGAUAAGUCAGAUGUUAAAGCCCUCGGCUUAACCGGGGAUUGUCAUUUGAAACUGUCAGGCUUGAGUGCGAGAGAGGGUAGUGGAAUUCCCAGUGUAGCGGUGAAAUGCGUAGAUAUUGGGAAGAACACCAGUAGCGAAGGCGGCUACCUGGCUCGCAACUGACGCUAAGGCGCGAAAGCGUGGGGAGCAAACAGGAUUAGAUACCCUGGUAGUCCACGCUGUAAACGAUGAACACUAGGUGUUGGUUUGCCGCAGGCUGAUCAGUGCCGCAGUUAACGCAUUAAGUGUUCCGCCUGGGGAGUACGAUCGCAAGGUUGAAACUCAAAGGAAUUGACGG